AUACGUAGGGUGCAAGCGUUAAUCGGAAUUACUGGGCGUAAAGCGUGCGCAGGCGGUUUUGUAAGACAGAGGGGAAAUCCCCGGGCUCAACCUGGGGACUGCCUUUGUGACUGCACGGCUAGAGUACGGCAGAGGGGGAUGGAAUUCCGCGUGUAGCAGUGAAAUGCGUAGAUAUGCGGAGGAACACCGAUGGCGAAGGCAAUCCCCUGGGCCUGUACUGACGCUCAUGCACGAAAGCGUGGGGAGCAAACAGGAUUAGAUACCCUGGUAGUCCACGCCCUAAACGAUGUCAACUGGUUGUUGGGUCUUCAUUGACUCAGUAACGAAGCUAACGCGUGAAGUUGACCGCCUGGGGAGUACGGCCGCAAGGUUGAAACUCAAAUGAAUUGACGGGG
rnacentral:rRNA from 1 species